AUAGGGAGGGGCUGGGAGAAGGCGCGCGCCAUCCAACCGCCGCCGAGCGAGCCGUUGUUAGGUGGCGCGUGCGCGCCUCUUUCCUACCCGGAGUCGCGAGCGCUCGCUCCUCCUCUCUAAUGCGGAGCUGCGGCGUCGCCAGGGAUGCGCGCGGGGCGGUUGCGGCCGUCACAGCCAGGCGCCGCGCGGAGCGGCGUUCAGGGGUCCUCGUGGGGCGGCUGCAGCCCCAGCGGCGCUCAGUCAGGAUCCCAGCCGACCGGAUUGCGCAAUAAACUGGCGGGUUCUCCGGCCCUUUCUCACCGGCUCCGGGGCUGCUGGAGCGGAGAGAGCCCGGGGAGGAGGGAGCCGCGCGUUCACCUUGUACCUGUGAGGAGGGGGCGAGGCCUGCGGGGGUGAAGCGGGCCCCUGCCUCAGUUUCCCCCUCCUGGCAGUAGCUACAGGAGAGAACUUGGGCAGCGGUGCCAGUCAGAGGCUGCUCGCACGGCAUUGGGAGCUGUGACUCAGGAGAUAGAGGUUCAGUUCCCUGCUGCAUCACUUACUUCCUGUGUGACCGAGGGCAAAUCACUUAGCCUCUCUGUGCUUCAUUCCCUGCUUCACCACGUAUCCUUGUAAGAUGGAAGGUCCUCCACAGUAUUUUUCACCUCUCUUGGGUGCCAGAAGAUUGGAGCCAAGAUGCUAGCCACAUAACUACUGCAGUGGCUAAGGACUAUGAAGCUUGUAAAGCUCAAUAAAAUGAGUAAACAUUGA